AUACGUAGGGUGCGAGCGUUGUCCGGAAUUACUGGGCGUAAAGAGCUCGUAGGUGGUUUGUCGCGUCGUCUGUGAAAUUCCGGGGCUUAACUCCGGGCGUGCAGGCGAUACGGGCAUAACUUGAGUACUGUAGGGGAGACUGGAAUUCCUGGUGUAGCGGUGAAAUGCGCAGAUAUCAGGAGGAACACCGGUGGCGAAGGCGGGUCUCUAGGCAGUAACUGACGCUGAGGAGCGAAAGCAUGGGUAGCGAACAGGAUUAGAUACCCUGGUAGUCCAUGCCGUAAACGGUGGGCGCUAGGUGUAGGGGUCUUCCACGACUUCUGUGCCGUAGCUAACGCAUUAAGCGCCCCGCCUGGGGAGUACGGCCGCAAGGCUAAAACUCAAAUGAAUUGACGGG
rnacentral:rRNA from 1 species